UUAACUAAGUAUAAAACUCGUGUAAUAUUGAAUCAGAAAUUUUACUAAAUUCAGGAAUUCUUAUAAAAAAGUAUGUCAAAAUAAUGUAAAAAACUGUCAAAAAAUAUGCAUCAGCGUAUUUUAUAGAUUUAUAAGAUAUGUUGCCAUUGACCACGUUAUACAGGAUGUGUCAGAACUCGCGCUCCAGAGAAUAAUUUCAAAUAAGAUAAGAUACCAGGAACAUGGAAAAAAUGUUUAAAAAAUUCAAAAAAUAAAAGUUAAAAUCCAGUUAAAAACUUCAGUUUAUGUAUAUGACGUUUCAAUGGUACAUUUCCAUUUUCUUCAAAUAUAAAAAGAAAAAAAACGUGUCUAAAAUUGACAACACUGCCACGUGUGUGGCACCACAUGAAACGUCAUAUACUGAAGUUUUUAACUGGAUUUUAUUUUUCCUAGAAUCUCACUCUUAUCAAUCAGAGUCCAAGAAAUUACAACAAAAUUGACAUUUAUUUUUUGACAUUUGACAUUUUUUUGUCUAUUUAGUGCAAAAUUUAAACUUCGAAAUUUUUAUAGAUAGAAUUUUUAAAAUUUUUUCCAUGUUCCCAGUAUCUUAACUUUUAUAGCAUUUUUCUCGGGGACGCGAGUUCUGGCGCACCCGGUAUAGGUGUUCCAAAAUUAAGGUUUUAGAGUGGAAAGUCUGAUCUUUGAGGAAAUUUUGACAUUGACAAUUGUUAAAAAAAGGACUUUAAUUAGUAUUAAUUUUAAAUAUUAAAACAGUAUUUGAGAAAUGAGUGCUAAGAUUAAAUUUGUUCACGUAAAAGAGUUUUUUUUUUACUUAAAAUUUGUGUUUAAUGAAACCGAGACAUAAAAAUGAGUUUUAGCUUGAAAUAAAUGUGUCAUAACCCGAAAUAAGCAGCCAUGAACAGUUACUCAAAGAGAAAAUAAGACAAAACGAAUAAGAAAAGAUCUUUUCUGAACUAAGUCUGUUUCUAGAAAUUUCUAUGAUUUGAGCGAUGUUUUUUUUGAAAAGCUUUAAUAAUGUGUUGAGUAAGGUUAAGCGGUCCGGCAGUGGUCCAGACCCCGGAUGAAGAAUGGUAAAUUACCGUCCGAAGAAGCCAAGCAAGGGGUUCAGUGGCAGCGUGAGUGGGUCAGGGCUGGCGUGGCGUCCCGACGACGACCGACUCCCACUCUAGUUCUUAUGCGCCGUCCCAUCACAUUUAAACGCUGGUCGUUCCCACUUCGGUUCAUUCCCAGCGCGAGUCGUGCCAAGUUAUGUCAGGUCUCGAUCCGACCGGCCUUUACUAAAAAGCGACAAAAUCGCCCGUGUUUUCACCAUUAUAAAUAAUUUUCUCUCGCAAAAUAAAAUCAAAUUCAACGAUGGACGGCGGCAAACUCGACCCCACUGGACAGUACUAGAAGUGUUGGUGGUUUAGUGGUGCUAACUCCUCCGGUCUAACAAUGAAGCUGAACGGCGGCAAGAGUCUGGAUCCAACCGGACUUUACUGAUGUGGCACCGCGACGGAGGCGAUGGCGGACGUCCGGAAACGUCGAGCGGUCGACGCCGGAGACUCCGAUAAAAUCGCCUCUUUGAUAAAACAACACACUGCCACAUAAGUUACCACCUAUUCAUUCAUCUGGAUGUAUCAAGACUGAUGUUUGUUGAUUUUAUUAAUUAUUAAGAUAUUUUGUUUUUUUAUUAAAUUAUAUUAGGUUAAGUUCCUUAAGAAUGACAUUCAGUUUUUCUUAAUUUGUUGUAUAUAAUUUUUUAAAAAACAUUUCUCAACUUGUAUAUUUUAAGCUUUGCUGCUUUUUUAUAUUCUUGGAAAUGAAUAAAAUAUUUUUUAUUUAAACGUAAA